rnacentral:piRNA from 1 species
UGAAGAACAAAUAAUAAUGAUGUUGA